AGAGUUUGAUCAUGGCUCAGAAUCAACGCUGGCGGCGUGCCUAACACAUGCAAGUCGAACGCGAAAGUCCCGCAAGGGAUCAGUAGAGUGGCAAACGGGUGAGUAACGCGUGGGUGACCUGCCCUCGAGCGGGGGAUAACGUUCCGAAAGGGACGCUAAUACCGCAUGACAUCCUGCCUUUGAAGAGGCGGAGAUCAAAGCUGGGGAUCGCAAGACCUAGCACUCGAAGAGGGGCCCGCGUCUGAUUAGCUAGUUGGUGGGGUAACGGCUCACCAAGGCAACGAUCAGUAUCCGGCCUGAGAGGGCGGACGGACACACUGGGACUGAGACACGGCCCAGACUCCUACGGGAGGCAGCAGUGGGGAAUUGUUCGCAAUGGGCGCAAGCCUGACGACGCAACGCCGCGUGGAGGAUGAAGAUCUUCGGGUCGUAAACUCCUUUCGAUCGAGACGAAUGGCUUCCGGGUGAACAAUCCGGGAGAGUGACGGUACCGAGAGAAGAAGCCCCGGCUAACUCCGUGCCAGCAGCCGCGGUAAUACGGGGGGGGCAAGCGUUGUUCGGAAUUACUGGGCGUAAAGGGCUCGUAGGUGGCCAACUAAGUCAGACGUGAAAUCCCUCGGCUUAACCGGGGAACUGCAUCUGAUACUGGAUGGCUUGAGAUUGGGAGAGGGAUGCGGAAUUCCAGGUGUAGCGGUGAAAUGCGUAGAUAUCUGGAGGAACACCGGUGGCGAAGGCGGCAUCCUGGACCAACACUGACGCUGAGGAGCGAAAGCCAGGGGAGCAAACGGGAUUAGAUACCCUAGUAGUCC
rnacentral:rRNA from 1 species